rnacentral:rRNA from 1 species
GAUGAACGCUGGCGGCGUGCCUAAUACAUGCAAGUCGAGCGAACGGACGAGAAGCUUGCUUCUCUGAUGUUAGCGGCGGACGGGUGAGUAACACGUGGAUAACCUACCUAUAAGACUGGGAUAACUUCGGGAAACCGGAGCUAAUACCGGAUAAUAUUUUGAACCGCAUGGUUCAAAAGUGAAAGACGGUCUUGCUGUCACUUAUAGAUGGAUCCGCGCUGCAUUAGCUAGUUGGUAAGGUAACGGCUUACCAAGGCAACGAUGCAUAGCCGACCUGAGAGGGUGAUCGGCCACACUGGAACUGAGACACGGUCCAGACUCCUACGAGAGGCAGCAGUAGGGAAUCUUCCGCGAUGGGCGAAAGCCUGACGGAGCAACGCCGCGUGAGUGAUGAAGGUCUUCGGAUCGUAAAACUCUGUUAUUAGGGAAGAACAUAUGUGUAAGUAACUGUGCACAUCUUGACGGUACCUAAUCAGAAAGCCACGGCUAACUACGUG